rnacentral:misc_RNA from 1 species
AACGCACGAGACCUGCGGACCUGCGGAGGGAUCAUUACCACACCUAAAACUUUCCACGUGAACCGUUUCAACUUUUUUGGGGACUCCUUGAUGCUAUUGCUUUCGGGUGUAUGGUGUCAGGUUGAGACCUAUCAAACGAAUGUUGAAGCUGCUAGUUUGGGACUCGCUUUUGUGCAGGCUUUUUAAUGAAGGCUAGUGUAAGGGUUUGAGACCUGGAUGAGCGGUUUUGACAAUUGUUUU